UGGAUCUCAGCGGGAAUAGAUCGGUGGGAUCAAAGGAUAGCUCAGGCUGGUAAAGCCUGUUAUUAAGAACACAGAAGCCUGCAAUUACUGCAGGUUCAAGCCCGGCCCAAGGUUGACUCAGCCUUCCAUCCUUUAUAAGCUGAAAAGCAAACUCAUCUUGGGAGCCCACUUUUGGGAGUAAGCAUGGAAGGAGCAGAAAUUAUUACUAACAUCUCUAUUCAAUAGUGACUCUCAGAAAGGUAAGUUAUUGCAAGCUGUGAAUGUUGAGACAAAUUGGAACGAACUGCCCCCAGGACUUCGUCAGCUUCCGGACCUUCGGACCUUCCGCCGCGAGCUUAAAACAUACUUAUUUAAUUGCGCAGGACUGAGCUAGAUUUUAAUUUACGGGUUUUAAAUUGGGUUUUAUUCUUAUAUUUUUAAUUAUUAGGCUUUUAGAAUAAGUUUUUUAAUUGUUUUUAGACUGUAUUUAUCUGUUUUUAAAUGCCUGUAAACCGCCCUGAGU